rnacentral:lncRNA from 1 species
CUGGACUCCCAGGUCUGAAGGAUGGGGCUGGGAGCCAGAAUUGGGUCUGAGGGAGGAAUGCCUGGGGACCUGGACUCCUGGGUCUGAGGGAGGAGGGGCUGGGGGCCUGAACUUGUGAGUCUGGGAGGAUGGUCUAGGAGCCAGACCCCAUUUCUCAGGAAGCCCCGUGGGGUGACUCCCCGUGUUACCCAUCUCUCCUGUAAACAUCCUGGUGGGUACUGAGUGGGCCCCGGGCUGCCUUCGUCAGAGAUGACACAGGUUAGAGGGGGCUCUGCAGGGGGCCGGGGGUGAGGGUCAGAGGGGUUGUGGGGCUGAGGCCGGGCAGCUGCUGACCGUUUCCUGUGUCAACAUCAUCUGGACCCACUUCCCAAUUCCCGGGAUUCCUCAGGGAUCAAGGAGGGGGUGGGGGGCGGGGCCGCCUGGCCUUGGACCGCGGCUUGGGACUGGGGGGGCCCCGCCGUCACGGCCCUCACCGCUAAUGACAGGUUUGGGCUGCCUCUGUGGCCGGCCUGCCCCGUCACCCCCCAGAGGCCAGACGGGACCCCCCAGGGACUGACAGACGGACACACACACAGCCUGGGACCUGCUGACCUCACACCCUGCCGGCUCGGCUUCCCCCCGGGGCCGCGCGGGAGCCAGGACUCCCUGGCCAUCCCCCAUGUCCCCGAGGCUUCUCCUCAGUGUCUGUGACCACCCCAGGGCCUGGGCCCUGGCUGCCCAGUCUGUUUCCGAGCCUCCAAGCUGGUCUCUAGCUUCCACUGGGUUCCGUGGCGCUGGCUGCCUCCUGGGGCCUUUGCUGCCCCUGUCUCUCCAGCUCUGUUUGUCUCUGUCAUCUGUCAUUUUCUUGGGACUCCCCAGUCCUGCCUCUGGGUUUCUUUUCCGAUCUUCAUCUCUUGCUCUGUCUCUCUCUCUCUCUCUUUCUCUUGUUUGCACAGAAGUAGCCCAAUGUGUCCCACCCUGGCCUGGGCAGACCCAGGAGUUGCCAGUCACUCCCAGCCCCGUCACUCUGCACCCGCCCCAUCUACCUGUACCUCCUGCAGCCACACUGCGGGGACGGAGUCUGAGCCCACAACCCAGGGCUGGGGACCCAGACGAGACAGGAAACUGGCAGCGGCUGGGACCCCAGAUUUGUCCCAGACCCAUUACCUUCCCCACACAUGCUCCCCAAAGUGCAGAAGGGCCCCAAGAUCCUCCUCUACCUUUCUUGAACUAGAAUUUAGGGCCUGGACUCCUGGGUCUGAGGGAGGAAGGCCUGGGAGCCUGGACUCCUGGG